rnacentral:lncRNA from 1 species
UGUCAUUUAAAAAACACAUAAUGUCAAUACGACGUAUUUUGAUGAAAUUGAGGCUUAGUAUAAAAGAAAAAAGAAAAAAAUGGCAUCCCUUGAAAACACAAAGAGCAUACUAAGGGCACGAAACUCGAAAGGAGAUCGUAAAACUAAAGAAAACUAACAAAAAGCAUCUAAUCAAUCCCUAAUCUCAGGAUAAUCAUCCAUUUCCGACCAACGACCAUGAACAAUAUUAUUCAUUGCACGUAUACUAGGCUUAUUGCUAAGGUCAAUCAUAAAAUCCCUCGNAUAAAUAUAAUUAUUAUAUUUAUUAUUUAAAAUGAAAUAAUUUAUUUUCAAAAGAAAAUAAUCAAUAUUUUGAAUAUAUAUAAAAAUUUAAAAAAUUUGCAUAGAUUUGAUUGAGUUUUUGAGACUCAAAGUAUUCGAUAAAUAAAGUAAGGAAUUCGACUCGAUACUAAACAAAGUUCGUCGCAUUAAGAAUUUAAAAAUCUUUUUAGUAUGGGAAAAUCACACUUUAACAAAACAACUUCAUGAAUGAAAUUGAGGUUUAAUAUUAAAGAAAAAGAAAAAUAGGAACCCUUGAAAGCACAAAAAAGCAGACUAAGGGCACGAAACUCUAAAAGAGAUCAUAAAACAAAUGAAAACAAACAAAGACAUCAACUCAAUACCUAAACUCAGGAUAAUCAUCCAUUUCCGACCAACGACCAUGAACAAUAUUAUUCAUUGCACGUAAACUAGGCUUAUUGCUAAGGUCAAUCAUAAAAUC